AAAAAAAACUCAAGUUUUUGUGAUCAUGGCUGCGUAAGUUUAUACAACUAUACUCCUCUUUUUAUUAUAUUUGAUUUUCCUUUUACCCUAUAGUAAACUCAAGUUUUUGUGAUCAUGACUGCAAAUAUUUCAUUGAUUCGAGGAAUUAAUUCAAGCAAAAACGAUUGGAAAAUAAAAGUACGUGUUUCAAGGCUUUUUGAUGUGCUAAACUUCACUAAACAAAAUAGUGUAAUUAGUCUGGACAUGGUCUUAAUUGACGAAGAGUGCUUAAGGGCCUAGGGGAGGAUGAUAUGAUAUGAUCGUAUUGGUGGAAUUCUGCUCCAGAGGAACUAAUGCUUAUGGUAUCAUGCUGUAACAUGGCAAAGUUCCACUCUCAAAAUAAUUUAUCUUUUUUUUAUCGGCUAUUUAUGUCUUCGACUUUGAAAAUAUUUUACUAAGUAUUUAUUUAUCUAUUUAGAUUUCGAACAAAAUUUAUCUCUUAUUAUUUU